CAGUCGCCGCGGUAAUACGUAGGGUGCAAGCGUUAAUCGGAAUUACUGAGCGUAAAGCGUGCGCAGGCGGUUUCUUAAGUCUGAUGUGAAAGCCCCCGGCUCAACCGGGGAGGGUCAUUGGAAACUGGGAAACUUGAGUGCAGAAGGGGAGAGUGGAAUUCCACGUGUAGCGGUGAAAUGCGUAGAGAUGUGGAGGAACACCAGUGGCGAAGGCGGCUCUCUGGCUUGUAACUGACGCUGAGGCUCGAAAGCGUGGGGAGCAAACAGGAUUAGAUACCCCCGUAGUCCCUGUCUCUUAUAC
rnacentral:rRNA from 1 species